UACGUAGGGGGCAAGCGUUGUCCGGAAUUAUUGGGCGUAAAGAGCGCGUAGGCGGUCCGAUAAGUCGACUGUGAAAGUCAGGGGGCUCAACCCCUUGAAAGCCGGUCGAUACUGUCGAACUAGAGUACGGAAGAGGCGAGUGGAAUUCCCGGUGUAGCGGUGAAAUGCGCAGAUAUCGGGAGGAACACCAAUUGCGAGGCAGCUCGCUGGGACGUCACUGACGCUGAGACGCGAAAGCGUGGGGAGCAAACAGG
rnacentral:rRNA from 1 species